AUUGAACGCUGGCGGCAUGCCUUACACAUGCAAGUCGAACGGUAACGGGCCUUCGGGUGCCGACGAGUGGCGAACGGGUGAGUAAUGCAUCGGAACGUACCUUUCAGUGGGGGAUAACGUAGCGAAAGAUACGCUAAUACCGCAUAUUCUGUGAGCAGGAAAGCAGGGGAUCGCAAGACCUUGCGCUGAUUGAGCGGCCGAUGUCAGAUUAGCUAGUUGGUGAGGUAAAGGCUAACCCAGGCGGCGAGCUGUAGCGGGUCUGAGAGGAGGAGCGCCCAACCUGAACCUGGGACACGGCCCAGCCACCUACGGUAGGGAGCAGUGGGUAAUUUUAGACAAUGGGAGCAAGCCUGAUCCGGCCAUGCCGCGUGUCUGAAGAAGUCCUUCGGGUUGUAAAGGACUUUUGUCUGGGAGCAAAUCCCCAGUGCUACUAGCCCUGGGGGCUGAGAGUACCGGAAGAAUAAGCACCGGCUAACUACGUGCCAGCAGCCGCCGUAACAC
rnacentral:rRNA from 1 species